CCCUGAUCCACUUCCUUUUUUCCAAAGCACUUUGUUGUUGUUCAAUCUCUCAUCCUAGGGGAAAAAGUGAAAGUGAAAGUCGCUCAGUCGUGUCCGACUCUUUGUCCAUGGAAUUCUCCAGGCCAGAACACUGGAGUGGUCUCUUCCCUUCUCCAGGGGAUCUUCCGAACCCAGGGAUCAAACCCAGGUCUCCCGCAUUGCAGGCGGAUUCUUCACCGACUGAACUAUCAGAGAAGCCCUCAUCCUCGGGGACUGGAAUGCAAAAGUAGGAGGUCAAGGAUACGCAUUAACAGUUGGAGGAUGCUUUACAAUAUUGUGUUGGCUUCUGCCAUACAUCAACAUGAAUCUGCCACAGUGUUAUAUUUUGGACUCACCUCACGGCACACAAGUUCUUAGUUCCUUGACCAGAGAUCAAACUCUUGCCUCCUGUAUUGGAAGCAUGGAGUCUUAACCAUCGGACCGCCAGGGAAGUUCCCAGUUUCUUUUUCUUCUUAAUUGCCUGUGCUGUGGGCUGCAUAAUAGCCCCCACGAUGUCUGCAUGCUAAUUUCCAGAACCUGUGAAUGUGUUACUUUGCAAAUGUGAUGCAAUUAAGGAUCUUGAGAUGGGGCGAUGAUUCCGGAUUGUGUGGCUAUGCCCAAUGUAAUUACAUGGUCCUUGGGACAGAGAAGCAAGAGGGUCAGGGUCAGAACAACAAGAUAUGACAUAGACUCAACUUCAGAGUGAUGAGGGGCCCAAGGCGAGGAACGCAGGCAUCUUCCAGAGACUGGAGAAGGCAAGGAAACGGCUUCUCCCCUCCAGCUGCCAGGAAGAACACAGCUUUGCUGAUGCCUCAGUUUUAUCCCCAUGAGAGCUGUUUUGGACUUGUUACCUCCAGAACUGUAAGAUAAUAAAGCUGUGUUGUUUUAAGGCACCAAGGUUGUGGCCAUUUAGUACAGCAGCAGGAAGAAGCGAAUACAUCCAGUAAAAAUAAAACCUGCCCAAGCACACUGCUUCGUACAAACCAGCCAAUUUCAAGUCCAAAGUGGCACAGUUGGUUCAGAUGACCACACACAUCUUUGUCAGUGUCAGACAGAAUCAUCAAACUCUCGCUCUGGCCAGAACCUCCUUGACUGAAAGUUUCUAAAGAGAGC
ensembl:lncRNA